GCAUUUUUGUCAACAAACAACAACUCGCCUGAGCAUUUCCUUUAAAAAUACCAAGGGUCACAGGGCUGUUAUCUGAUUAAUGCUUUCCAUGCCUGUCAAUUUAAGUAGGCAGCCAUGUCUUGAUGAAGCAACGUCCUUUUGCCCACGUCAGACCCAGAGUUCACGCAGGUAAGAUGAGAGCCCCAUGGCACUUGUAAGCCAUAUCAUCCUGGAGGAAUCAGGUGUUAAUGAUUGUGCGCUCACACCGUGUGGGGGCAUGAACGAGUCUGAUGGCCACUCACUGAUAUGUUUACGUCUUCCAACAACUGCCCACCUCCUUAAUCACAGCAGAGGAUGAGGGUCAGCCUCAUUCUGGAUUCUCCUCACAGCCUGGCUGUAGCUUUCAGUCACGUUCAGGCCGUGAGCUCUGCUCUCCCUAGGCACUGAACCCUGAAGAACAGUUGGGGUAACAUCCUCAAAGCUUGGCAUUUCCAGUGAGGAUUAAAUACCUGGAAUCUGAAGGUAGCAGAAAAUGAAAAACUGUCUCGCCUGCAUCAAAGAGCAAGCUUGUCAUUAUUAGCUACAGAGGAAGAAAUAUGCAACUUGACAGAGGUGAAGAUUGUCUUCAACUUUUUUAUUUCAAGGGUCCUUCUUCUUUCUGUCAGGAUGCUGAACUGUACCAGCCUUGAAGUGUAUUAAUGUUACCAUUUUAAUUGGGAUUUUGUUAGAUGUGGUGGGCCAUUAGCACCGCAGGAGUUAGCUUCUCAUGAUGGAAGCUGUCAAAUUGCUCACAUUACUUGAAAGCAAUCCCCAACUGGUAGUUCUGUUUUUUGAACCUUUUAGCAAAGGAUACAAAGAUGUUGUGUUUUGUCCCAGUCACUUUGAUAACACCAGGAUCGUUUGUCUUCUCACAAAGUGAACAAAAAAAAAAAUCCAUGUCAAAAUUAAAUGACUUUGCUGAACUGCUAUGAUAAAUGAUCAAAUUAAAUUUGAGGAUAGUUCUCAUCGAUGAUGUCCUCAUCAUAGUUCGAUGAUGAGGACAUCAUCCUUUUUGACAUAGGAUGAUGUCCUAUGUUAAAUGCUGCAUUAAUCUCCUCUGUCAUAGUCUAUACUUCUACUUACUGUUCAAUAGAGCCCUUAAGAAACAUACAGUAGCUACCUACUGACCAGAAGUCUAGCAGCUUCAAAGUCUUCACAGCUGAAAAUUUUAAUUGGCAUAAAUUUAGAGCGGCACAUUUUGAAAACAUGUAUUUAAAUCCACAUCAUAGAAUUAGGAGAAAGAAAGACCUAAGUCUAAAGAAGUUAAGAUUGUAAAUUUACUGAGCUUGUGUCACCAUAAAAACAGAAGUAGGAUCCUGAGAUCAAAAAAUGCUUCUAGCCAAGUUCUGUUUGAGAACAACCAAUAGUUAG